rnacentral:lncRNA from 1 species
CUAGGCGCUGGUGUUCUGGUGGCCCCAGCUAAGAAUUUGGAAGGGUGAAAAGAAAGUUAUUUUUUCUCCCUUACACUGGUAAAAUGAUAGCUGCAAGGAUGUCUGUCACGGGACAAUAAAGUGAAAAAUUUACCAUUCACUAUCUCCAAACUAUUUAGAGGUAUAGGGAGGGCAUUGCUCACAUGAGGAUUGAACACCAGCUUCAGGGUCCCAGUUUGUUAAGGAAAUCGAAGGGUGUGAUCAACAGCUCGUGCACUGCCGUGCUGCGAACCCAGAGUUCAGGCACUGACGUGGCGCUUCUGAUGGGUAGGUACGUGAUGUAACCCUCACUUGUGCUUUGAUUCUGUUACCCGCUUCCACACAAUGGGCUCCCCGCUCAAGGCAGGUGCCUCACUGAAUUUCCCGUGUUAGUGUCUGGUUGGCACUGUGUCUGUCCAUCUAUAUUCAGUUGCUGUAAUUGUUUACUGUGACGAUCAGGAGAGUUCUUGCCCAUGCGAUUGCGUUAUCAGCCUACUUGGUGAGCUCCGAUACCCCUGAGCUCAGUUUAGCUCAAAGCCCAGAAAAGCCUUUGUUUUAACUAGAGCCGAUUCUGCACAUCUGAGAGGUGUGGCACAUAACUCCCGGGCAUGUUUGGGGUUUUAAUCCAGUUUAUACUGGUGCCGUGGAGGGUACGGUCUUAAUGCUCAAGACUGAGCCAAGGCAGGGCUCUUUCAUUAACCUGAGACCUUUAAAAACUACCAAAGUAGCCUGGUACUUUGAUAUCCCUAGAGGUAGGACAGAAUUUCAGGUGAUCCUCUUUGUCCCCCUGGAUUGCUGUGGAAAGGACCUUCUGUCAUCCUGCAUUGGAAUCUCUGAAGGAAGAUGCGAAACUUCCCUUGCGAAAGGUACUUUGCUCUUAGAGCACCUCCUACUUAAGCUGUUUUAUUUAUACCUAAUUGAAGUCUCUGUGGGGAAGGAUCAAGCGUAAACUCAGUGGUCAUUGCUUUACAAGAGGACUAGAGCCGUUAAAUGCCAGAAUGCCCAUUCUCUGUUAUUCUUCUGCUCUACAGCACAGGGUGGGCUCUGAGCCAAACUGAAAGACAAAUAGCUUACUAUUGUUUACGAUGUGUGUGUGAGAGAGAGAUUUUAAUAGGAAUCCUUACAUAGGUGAUUUAUAAACGUAUACAAGGUUGACGAGGGGGUCACGAGGGGCUGUUUUCCCGUAGUUGUACUGGCUGAUCACCUCUUAGGGACCGUAUCAUUGGCACACUCUCCUGGUGAUGUGGGCGAGGGGGUCAGGGUUCAGCAGACACUGGCUUCGUGUGCUGUGUGCCAGGUUCUUAGGAUGACUGUGUCCUGUGAAGCAGCAGUUGGGGCAGGGAGAGAUGAGGAGACCAGUGAGAGCCAUUUAUGACCUCAUCAACCUGCCACCUCUGAUUUUGAACNCCUAUAUACAGAAAUUAGCAGGUACUUCAGGAAAUUGGAGGAAACCUGAGGACCUCUCUCUUAAGAGUACCUGGACUUAGGGAGCUCAGUGUCUCAUUGAGUUUCACAUAUGUGUGAUUCUAGUGCCUUCCAUCAUUCAGAUCCUCUCAGGCCCUUGCCUGAUAUUCUCCAGUGAUUUCCCAUUGCACUUGAUUAUGAAAAUAAUUAGCAAGCAUUGACAGCAGUGAGCAAGAUAAGGCUAUUCUUUGCCUUCAUCACGUAAUAUGAUUUCUCUUUUGUUACUUUGCCCUAAACACACAGGUUUUUUUCCCUUUAAGUUCUUUUUUUGGGGGGCGGGGGUGCACGUGCGCAGCACAUGAAUGUUGCCAGGCUAGGGGUCCAAUCAGAGCUAUAGCUGCCACCUACGCCACAGCCACAGAAAUGCCAGAUCCCAGCUGCAUCUGUGACCUACACCACGGCUCACGGCAACACCAGAUCCUUAACCCACUGAGCGAGGCCAGGGAUCGAAUCUGCAACCUCACAGUUCCUAGUUGGAUUUUUUUUCGCUGCUCCACGACGGGAACUCUGUUUUGAGCUUUUCCAGAAGAUAAAAUGCCCUGUUUCAAGGGUACAGUUUGCUAAGUAUUGACAUAAAUUUCACUUGAGUGAUGAUUACCACACUCAAAUAAUAAACACAUUCAUCACACCCAUAAAUUUUUGGUUCAGAACUAUAUAUGCUCCAAAGACAUUUUUUAGUCAUUUAUUUCACGUUUAAAUAGGGAUAAUUUAAUUUUUUUUUUUUAGGGCCACACCCACAACACAUGGAGGUUCUCAGGCUAGGGAUCAAAUUGGAGCUUCAGCUGCCGGUCUACCCGGCACCCACAGCAACUUGGGAUCCAAGCUGCGUCUGUGAUGUACACCACAGUUCACAGCAAUGCUGGAUCCUUAACCCACUAAGUGAGGCUAGGGAUUGAACCCACAACCUCCUGGUUCCUAGUCGGAUUCCUUUCUGCUGUACUACGAUGGGAACUGCAGGACAAUUCUUAAUAAUAAAGACAGUUAUUAUAUAUGUUGGGGGAGAAACUUGUUUCUGGUACAUUUGAAUGUGCCUGAGAAAUUUCUUAUGUUUUCGAUAUGUUCCACCCCAGAUAGAAUGUUACUUAAGUACAACCUUUCAUAGCAAUCUCAUAUUUUCAAGUGUUACUAUAUAAUCCUCAUCAGUGAUUUUGUUUAAUGACUAAUCAUUGUAAUUAUGGAGUCUCUGGCACAUUUCUACCCAUACUAAAUCAUGAAAGAAAUUGCAUAGAAUUCUCUAAUCAUAAAAGUUGAAAAAUAUUGGAGUCAUUUUAAAAUGGUAAGAAUGGGUUUAAAAUAUAUUCGUGGACACUUGGCUAUGGUCCUCAACAAGCCUACUGUUGAAUUCACUAAGUUAGUUGAAUUCAGUUAGGAAGAGUAUGUGUGGUAGCUUCUGAAUUAUGUGUGGAAUAGGCCAGUUUCUCUUUAGUGGCAGUGACAUAAAUGGUAAUUACAAAACAGUUUCAUGUAUUGUAGGAAAGUUUUCCUUAAUCUUCUAAUCCUUCCUGUCUAGGUCCAAAAGUGAAACUGUCUGACAACCACAGAUUAACAGAAGGACGACAUACAAAUUUAUUUGAUGUUUUAUGUGACAUGGGAUCCUUUACAUGGAAAUGAAGACCUGAUGAAACAGACUUGGGUAUUUUAUGCUAGGUUUGAUAAAGAGUGGACAAUCACGGAAGACUAUGAUAGGUUAAGAAGUAUUAGGUAAUUGUAGUAAAUGGGGAUCAUCUUAACAAAAUCUAUUUUUUUUCAGAUUAUUGACAUCCUUUCUAAUUCAGAGAUAAAGUUGCUCCUUUCCUCCCAGUAUAGGGAGAGUGCCUGUCACAUGAGGGUUUUAUUACCUGUUUCAGGGGAGAAAGACAAGUGAGGGAGAAGGUCAAAGACACCAGUCUGUUUCUGCCUUUUCUCAAACUCCCUUCAGCUUAAAAUACUAAAUGUCAGUGUGCCAAAUGGUAAAUGUCCUGAACACCAUCAGUGUACUUUACUACAAUAAAAUAAGUGACAAAUCUGCAUUUUAGAAUUAUUGGAUGCUGGCAGUUGCCUAAAUGGGUGAGAUUUAGUCUGAUAAUUUCUAAUAAUUUUUGCUUAAUUGUAAUACAUUCUUGUGUGCACUAGUCAGAAGCUGAAAUAACAGCAUUUGGCAUGCAAAAAUAAGGAUCAUUAAAACUAUUUUAAAAG